UCCAACCAGGCGGUUGCCAGCAUCAUGCUAGGUGCUGGGAAUGUGUGAGUAAGAGGGGUCUCCAUCCUCCAGAAGUCUUCAGUAGAGUGGAGGUAGCACCAGAGGAUUUGCUGCUGGACUGGAUGUAGGGUGCGGAAGAAAGAGAGGAAUCAAAGUUUGGGGUCUGGACAAGAGGAGACUGGAGCUUCCUUCUGCUGCGAGCAGUUAUGGAGAAGGUUUCAAGAGAAGCAUCAUAAAAAAUCCAGAAGGAAUCAGGCCCAUCCUGCUUCCUAAUUCAUAAGUCAAGUAACCAAGUGGAAACAGACUAGAUCAUUUGGGAGACUGUUUAUGGAAAAAGGCCAAGGCAUUCUGAGCUGGAUCCUCAAAUCAGAAAUGAGCCCUGGGGUUUAUGUAAUCCUCAUGAGGAAAUUGGAAGCUGGAA